GGCCGAUUCCCGUUUCUUCGUCCGUCGCACGCACGCACGCACGCACGCGCACACCUCCUCUCAUCCCCGUCUCACGAUGAGCAGGGGAUCAAUGGAUGUAAGGUUCGGCUUCCAAUCCAUCGAGGACGCCGGCCAGUCCACCGAGGGGAGAGUCCAAAUUGUGCACGCGAAAGCCCUAGGCGUCGCGCAUACCAUCUUCGCCGCCUCGCCCAGCGUUUGCUCGCCUUAGCUCGCGGAGAUGGAGCAGGACGCGCCACCCGUCCCGCACCAGGCCCAGGACGACGGCGCCGUGGACGGCUGGGCGCGCGACGACACGGAGCCCUCCCCUACGGCGUCCCGGCGGAGUGCCCCGAGGCGUAGGUCCUCCUCCUUGCCGCCGCCUCCGUGCAGCCGCUCGUCCGCGACCCUCAACUACGACUCGGUGGGAGGAGCCCUGCGACGACCUCGACGCCUGUUCCCGCGAGCACGACCACUGCGUCCGCCCCGCAAGAAAGCCGCAUGGAUUGGGGAUAUGUACUUCGGUUUGGGUUCAUCAAAAGGGGCAAUUGUUGAGCACUUGUAUCAACUAUCGAGGAUCUCAACUUCACAUGGAUCACACUAUGAUCAAGUGCAUUCUGGUGGUGUGAUGAUUGUGACGGAAAAUGUUAGCAGCAGAAGCAAUCGCUACGAUUUUGACCUCCAUACGAAAUCUGCAAGGGUAACAACAGCAAAGGAAACUGGUGUAAGUUGAGUACUAAGACUCGAAGAUGAGCUACCAUCAAGAUUAUGUCUCGACAAUCAAGUAUACUGAAUUUUUUUACCGAACUCACAGAAGUAGAUUGUGUAUCCCAUCCAACGUUCAACCUAAUGGACAUUGAGGGAACCACUUUGAGUAGGCAAUUGUUUCUGUGGAGGAAAAUGCAUGAUACUAAAGCUAAGCUUCCUUUGGUCCAGAUGAAAUCAAGGCAACUGGGUCUUCUAUCUUCAAACAUCAAUUUGUUUAAUUUAAGCCCAGACCAUGCUGGCAGUGAGUCGGAAUCAGUUAAAAUCGUUAUGUUCUCAAGUGUUUCUCUUGCCCACAAAUACAUUUAUUCAUUUUCGUUGACCUUGCUAUGUUCUAUUGUAAUUCGAGUUCGAAUAUUUAUUUUGUAGCCCUGCUUUGUGCUGUCCUAAUUCAAGUUGCGCUGCCACAAAAUGCUUCUAAUUUAACUGUUGUAAGCGCAGCAAUAGGAGCAGCGCAGGCGGCCACUUCAUCUAAGCUUACAUGGAACGUAUGCCCUGUUGCAGCCUCGCAGGUCAUUAUCAUCUCAUCUCACCACACUCAUGCCACAUAACCUGAUAAUUGAUGAAAAAACUUUGAUAAAGAAAUACCGGCGCCGUCUCAUCGUCUUCAUCGACAUGAGCAUCUCUGUCGGUCCACGCGUCCAUGCCUCCCCAUCUACCGUGCUGGAGUGGCCGCCUCCUGGUUGAGGCUGAGGUGAGCACCAUGAGGAUGAGGAGGUCAGUGGCUGAUAUAGAGAGCUCCUCGAACGAGGAAGUAGCAGUUCUGGAGCAACUCAAAGAUGUCAUUUUUCAGUUUUGAUGGGAAUCGGUACAACAACAAUUAGAACAGACUGCAUUGCACGUUCAGAACCAAUUUCUAGGGGAUUAUGGCAAGUAGCAGUGAUCGUUCGGGUUCUUGGGGAACGGCAUUUACAGUUCAGUAGGAAAUUUCAAGCAUGGACCAAGGAAACAAGAUGCUGAUGGAGUGUCAUGUAUUGCUGCUACCUGAUUUUCUGUGAGCUUUCAAAUUAGUUCUGCGUUGUCCUUCAACAACUGCUUUGUAUAAUCCAGAAGAAUUGGUAUCUGCAUAGGCAAUUGGUACCACGGUUAUUGGACAAAGUUCUGUACUGACAGUCCAAAACUUUGUGGUCGCCCAGGCUAUUCAGCCUUUAAUCAUAUUUAACAUCAUCAGGGUCUCUGGACAAACAAGCUCGAGGAGGCCAUUGUUUGGUGCAGCCCACGACGACAACGACACCAUUGACCACUGAAGCAAGGUCCUUAUAUGGUCACUGAAGAAAUCAUCUUUUCUUCCGACAGAAGGGCACUUUUCUUGAAUCUUUGUCAGUGUCUGUUGUAAUUUACUAUCAUCCCUAAGACAAACUUGAUUCUGUGUUGCCGUUCUUUA